rnacentral:misc_RNA from 1 species
GGAAGUAAAAGUCGUAACAAAGGUUUCCGUAGGUGAACCUGCGGAAGGAUCAUUAUUGUAUAACCGAAGUGCGAGGGCUGUCGCUGACCCGAAAGGUCGUGCACGCCCGAGUGCCCUCACACACAUCCAUCUCACCCCUAUGUGCACCACCGCGUGGGUCCCCCUUUGGCUUGUUCGGAGGGGGGCUUACGUUUUCACACAAACUUUGUAUGCAGUGUAGAAUGUAUUUUUUGUUUUUGCGAUCACGCAAUCAAUACAACUUUCAACAACGGAUCUCUUGGCUCUC